CUCGUGAGGCUGUAAAUGAGAAAUAGUCCAAGCAUAUUUCUGCAGCAGUGUCACUAAUCAGUAAUGCUUCUAAUAGCAACGAGCAACAUGACAUGGAGAUCAAUUCUACUCGUGUUGCAGUAGAGGAAGAUGUGGCAAAGAACAACAAGGAUCUCUUUGAGCAGUUUGAUGGUAAGUGUAUGGUUUCAUUGCAUAGCAAAAUUGGUUGCAAAAAAGUAGCAAAAUUGUUUUAUUAUUGGCAUUCUGACGUGUGUGUCCAUUAGCAAUCUGGUUUUAAAACUCUACUCUUUACCAUUUUAUCAUGUUUUACGCCUCCCACCAUAUUCAACCUGUUCCUGCCACAAAAGAAGAGGUAUGAUUUCAUUUUAAGUGUUUCUGUUUCUUCUUAGCAGUUUGCUAAUCUAACUCCUUGUGAUAAAUUUCGAGCUUCUACCAUUUCUCUAUCUUUCAAUUUUUCGCUAAUUUGAAUUUCUUAAACUAGUUAAUACUAGUUUGGAAUCAUCAAUUUCAGCUUUCUGUGACCAAUUUAAUUCAGUUAAUUCUAGUUUGGGUAAUUAUUUACUUCAUCAGUUUAUUGCCAUUGCCAUUAUCAAUAUUUGAUUUGUUUGUGUGAGAAAUGAAUGUGUGGACAGUUUUUUAAUUUCAUUUUGAUAUUAUUGCAUAUUAGGGAAAUCAUUUGUAAGUGUAUAGCAGUAUUAAGAGAGUUCUUGGUCAUGCACUGUGAAACUUUGCUUAUUGCCGCUUAGGUAAUUUUGGAUCAAAGUGUUGGUUCCUUCAAAGGAAUUUUCCAAGAAGCAUUACCAUGAUCUCAGUGAAAGAUCUUUCUUCAAUGAGCUCUGUGACUUCCUAAGCUCUGGCUCUGUUAUUGCAAUGGUUUAGGAAGGAGAAGGAGUCAUAACUUAUGGCCGAAAACUAAUUGGAGCCACUGAUCCGCAGAAAUCUGCACCUGGAACUAUUAGAGGUGAUCUGGCUGUUAAUGUUGGAA